AGUAUAGGAAAAUCUAAUGAAUAUGAUGAGCCUAGUAAUCCUAAUCAAAUAUAUUAGAAAAUCUAUUAAUUUUCACAUGUUUAUUUAUAAAUAGAUUUUAUAUUUUGCAUACCUAAUAAAUUUACUAACAAUUCGCACCGACUCGAUCGAUUUGUAAGUUCCUUAUUAACAGGCUCACACUUGUCAGCCUGCUUGGAAAGCACAAAUUUGUGUCUAACAUCAGCAACAGCUGUGAUGGAUUUAGAUCCUGAGUAUUUGUCCAGAUAUUCGAGGUCCAGCUUCAAUAUCGCGCAUCUGAGUGUAGUGUGUCUAGGCUGCUGCUGUCGUAGAAAAAAAAACACGAGACAUAUGUGGACCCGUACGAUUCCGGAAGAAAACUAUUUACUUUGGUCAGGAAACCAAUAAAUGGCCAUAAAACAAAUGAAAAAUAAAAGCACCUAACACAAGCGAUGAAGCUCAACAAAGUACGUCAGAUGCAAGGGAAAACUCCACCAUCCGGCCGGACAAACACCUGAGCAGAAUCUACAAACAGGAUGAACACCGGUACAGAACAACCAGCACCAUGCAGUUUAUCAACAACAGCAGCAGUAAACAUCACUCUGGCGGAAGAAAACACCAUCAGUCUGCUAGUUCCUCAGCGACGGAUACAUCCAGACACCAUGCAGCUACCACCGAUCAUACCGCCUACGCCAUCAUCACCACCAGAGGCAACAGCAGCAUAACAUCGGACAUCCGCCGGAAGCGUUCCAUCGCAGCACUACCUGCUUUCCGAUGGAAGAGACCAUCAACGCAGCAGCAUCUACCUUUUCAUCCUCACCACAAGAAGUGAACCAGCUCAGCAGCAGCCGCGGCCGCGGAAUCAGCAUUUCUUCUCCCAAAACGGAAGCGCACCAGGCGGCGGAAGUGGCUCAGGCGGGUCACAAUGGAACAGUGGAAUUGAUGUUGGUUCUAGUGUGUUCAUUAUGAUCUAAUCUGUCCAACCCAUGAGUGAACAUAUGCAACAGCCCACAGCCCUGAAAAAGGACGAUCAACCUUUUAAUAUAACAGCCAGAAUAAAAAAAUAAUCCCUGAAAAUCUUCUGAAACGACGAAGUGGAACAUUUGUUUUUAUCACGGCGGAACCAGAGGAGUCAGCGUUAGAAACAGCAACUAAUUAGUCAGCAUCUUUAGAAUUCAGAAUUGCAUCCGUGGCCCAGAUUCCAGUCAUGAGGGCCUUGGAGGUAAAAAUCACAUUCUGAAAGCAUACAUCUGGUUCUCGAACUGCCGGAAUUCAGUGAAGAGUUGUUAUCCGUAAGUAAUUCGUAGUGUCCGGCCAUAGACAACACUUUUGGAAAUGAGUGAAAAUUAACAUAAAAUUAUUUCUCUUACCUCAUGAAUAUGUUGCAAAUUAUUUUUUUUCCUGUAUAGUUAAGUGAUCAUAAUAUUGAUAUUCUCCAAAUCAGUAGAAAAGCCAAUAUUUACAAAAAAAUAUUUUUGAAGUUAUUGCUUAAAAACCUUAAGUGUCCGGUAGUAGAAAACUUCCCCCUACAUACUGUCUAUUAGUAAAAAUACGGUCGACUUAUAGA